rnacentral:rRNA from 1 species
GAUGAACGCUGGCGGCGUGCCUAAUACAUGCAAGUCGAGCGAACGGACGAGAAGCUUGCUUCUCUGAUGUUAGCGGCGGACGGGUGAGUAACACGUGGAUAACCUACCUAUAAGACUGGGAUAACUUCGGGAAACCGGAGCUAAUACCGGAUGAUAUUUUGAACCGCAUGGUUCAAAAGUGAAAGACGGUCUUGCUGUCACUUAUAGAUGGAUCCGCGCUGCAUUAGCUAGUUGGUAAGGUAACGGCUUACCAAGGCAACGAUGCAUAGCCGACCUGAGAGGGUGAUCGGCCACACUGGAACUGAGACACGGUCCAGACUCCUACGGGAGGCAGCAGUAGGGAAUCUUCCGCAAUGGGCGAAAGCCUGACGGAGCAACGCCGCGUGAGUGAUGAAGGUCUUCGGAUCGUAAAACUCUGUUAUUAGGGAAGAACAUAUGUGUAAGUAACUGUGCACAUCUUGACGGUACCUAAUCAGAAAGCCACGGCUAACUACGUGCCAGCAGCCGCGGUAAUACGUAGGUGGCAAGCGUUAUCCGGAAUUAUUGGGCGUAAAGCGCGCGUAGCGGUUUUUUAAGUCUGAUGUGAAAGCCCACGGCUCAACCGUGGAGGGUCAUUGGAAACUGGAAAACUUGAGUGCAGAAGAGGAAAGUGGAAUUCCAUGUGUAGCGGUGAAAUGCGCAGAGAUAUGGAGGAACACCAGUGGCGAAGGCGACUUUCUGGUCUGUAACUGACGCUGAUGUGCGAAAGCGUGGGGAUCAAACAGGAUUAGAUACCCUGGUAGUCCACGCCGUAAACGAUGAGUGCUAAGUGUUAGGGGGUUUCCGCCCCUUAGUGCUGCAGCUAACGCAUUAAGCACUCCGCCUGGGGAGUACGACCGCAAGGUUGAAACUCAAAGGAAUUGACGGGGACCCGCACAAGCGGUGGAGCAUGUGGUUUAAUUCGAAGCAACGCGAAGAACCUUACCAAAUCUUGACAUCCUUUGACAACUCUAGAGAUAGAGCCUUCCCCUUCGGGGGGGACAAAGUGACAGGUGGUGCAUGGUUGUCGUCAGCUCGUGUCGUGAGAUGUUGGGUUAAGUCCCGCAACGAGCGCAACCCUUAAGCUUAGUUGCCAUCAUUAAGUUGGGCACUCUAAGUUGACUGCCGGUGACAAACCGGAGGAAGGUGGGGAUGACGUCAAAUCAUCAUGCCCCUUAUGAUUUGGGCUACACACGUGCUACAAUGGACAAUACAAAGGGCAGCGAAACCGCGAGGUCAAGCAAAUCCCAUAAAGUUGUUCUCAGUUCGGAUUGUAGUCUGCAACUCGACUACAUGAAGCUGGAAUCGCUAGUAAUCGUAGAUCAGCAUGCUACGGUGAAUACGUUCCCGGGUCU